rnacentral:rRNA from 1 species
UACGGAGGGUGCGAGCGUUGUCCGGAAUCACUGGGCGUAAAGGGCGCGUAGGCGGCCUGAUAAGUAGGGGGUGAAAUCCUGCGGCUUAACCGCAGGGCUGCCUUCUAGACUGUCAGGCUAGAGCACAGUAGAGGCAGGUGGAAUUCCCGGUGUAGCGGUGGAAUGCGUAGAGAUCGGGAAGAACAUCAGUGGCGAAGGCGGUCUGCUGGGCCGUUGCUGACGCUGAGGCGCGACAGCGUGGGGAGCGAACAGG